rnacentral:lncRNA from 1 species
CAAAGAAAAGAAAAAAUAGAAAAAAAACAAGAAAAGAUUAAAGAAGAUAGCAAAGUUGGAGGACUUAUACAACAUGUAUAUCAUGACUUAUUGCAAACCUACAAUUAAGUGUUAUUAAUUAUGUAUGUAAAUAUUAACACAUUUUUUAAAUUUAAAUUUUAUUUUUAAUUGAUACCAAACAUUAUCUUCACUGCUAUGGUAUCAACUUGGCCAGGCUGAACUACAUUCCCCAGAAUUUCUUUUUCUGUGUGUCUCUGGUUAGGAUGGUCCCCAAGAGAUAUUCUUGCAGAAGAUUUGAGAAAGAAAGCUAAGUAGCAGUCAUUUUGUAGCUCAUGCUAACUCACCUGCUGACUUAUCUUGUCACAUGGCAGUAUUUGUGCCUGCAACUACCCCACCUUCCUGUGGGUUCUCCUUCAACCUCUGUAAUUUUUGAGCCAAAUGUCUGUGUUUAGCUUCAAGCAAAGGACCCUGUCUUCUGUAGAAUACUACAACACCAAGGAGAGGCAACAAGAGCUGACACAGAUUUCAGUUCAUCCUGUGGGGAUCCAGUUCAUGCUUGUGGGUUCCAGCUUGUUCUAAUAUUCCCCACUUUACCUCUUUCUUCCUUUCUUGAUAACCUGCCCCACAGUCUUUAUAACGCUGAAGCUUGAAGUGCAUCCCAGUGGUUCUGCUUCUUUUAUUGAAUCUUGACUGCUACAUAUCAAUGACUCAACUAAAUGAUCAAAAACUUGAAUAAACAUUUUAUAAAAGAAGAUAUCCAUGUAACUAAUAACCAAUUAUUUUUCAUGGACCUGUUGCAAUUGUUGACUCUCACAAUGUUAAUUAUGAAUAAAAUUAGGUGCAGUAAAGUGUAUAGUCAAGAAAAGGAUCAUGGAGGAAGAGGAUCAGUAAACACAACUCAAAGGAAAGGAUGAUAUCCCACCAGGAUUAAAGUGAAAUUGGUCAUUUUAAGACCAGUGCCAAAAGGACUCCUGUUUCUUCCCCA